UUUGUAUAUCAUUGUAACAGGCAGCGGAGUUGUUAAGAUAACUUCAAAUGAGGUACAAACAAAAAGGACAAACACUCACCUGCAGUUUGUGGUCUUUAUACUCUUCUUAUCUACGGGAUUCGCAAGAGCUGAAGAAAUGAGGGAAGAUGGGUGAUUGUCAUGUUUCUCUGCAUCCUGGACUUUUUUCUGACACUUUAUCUUGACCGCCUUGGUGCCUUAGUGCGUCACAACUGGCUCGGCUUCCCGUAUUUGAUGGCUGGUGUUCAGCCCACCUCUUGCUCUCUCUCUCUCUCUCUCUCUCUGUCUCCUUCUCGCUCGCUCGCUCUCUCUCCAUCUCUCUUUAUCCCUGGAGUAUCUUCUCGCGUCCUCCAUCACUACAUGCUUUAUCUUUCUCCUCCAAUUCAACUUGUUUUCAUCUUUUCUUCUCAUCUUACUCUCGACACCGUGAUACACACUUUCAUGAACCUAGCCUGCACAGACACUACCUGCCUUGUGAUCCUGCAUUAUAUUGCUUUCACAGAUAUUGCACCGGUGAGAAAAUUAAAGCUGUGA
rnacentral:lncRNA from 1 species